rnacentral:siRNA from 1 species
UCUCCAAGUUAGUACUCUC